AGGAUGAACGCUGGCGGUCUGCUUAACACAUGCAAGUCGAACGGAGUACCUCGGUACUUAGUGGCGGACGGGUGAGUAACGCGUGAGAAUCUGCCCUUAGGUCGGGGACAACCAUUGGAAACGAUGGCUAAAUACCGGAUAAGCCGAGAGGUAAAAGAUUAAUUGCCUAGGGAAGAGCUCGCGUCUGAUUAGCUAGUUGGUGAGGUAAAGGCUCACCAAGGCAUCGAUCAGUAGCUGGUCUGAGAGGAUGAUCAGCCACACUGGGACUGAGACACGGCCCAGACUCCUACGGGAGGCAGCAGUGGGGAAUUUUCCGCAAUGGGCGAAAGCCUGACGGAGCAAGACCGCGUGAGGGAGGAAGGCUCUUGGGUUGUAAACCUCUUUUAUCAGGGAAGAACACAAUGACGGUACCUGAUGAAUCAGCAUCGGCUAACUCCGUGCCAGCAGCCGC
rnacentral:rRNA from 1 species